rnacentral:rRNA from 1 species
GACGAACGCUGGCGGCGUGCUUAACACAUGCAAGUCGAACGGAAAGGCCCUGCUUUUGUGGGGUGCUCGAGUGGCGAACGGGUGAGUAACACGUGAGUAACCUGCCCUUGACUUUGGGAUAACUUCAGGAAACUGGGGCUAAUACCGGAUAGGAGCUCCUGCUGCAUGGUGGGGGUUGGAAAGUUUCGGCGGUUGGGGAUGGACUCGCGGCUUAUCAGCUUGUUGGUGGGGUAGUGGCUUACCAAGGCUUUGACGGGUAGCCGGCCUGAGAGGGUGACCGGCCACAUUGGGACUGAGAUACGGCCCAGACUCCUACGGGAGGCAGCAGUGGGGAAUAUUGCACAAUGGGCGGAAGCCUGAUGCAGCAACGCCGCGUGCGGGAUGACGGCCUUCGGGUUGUAAACCGCUUUCGCCUGUGACGAAGCGUGAGUGACGGUAAUGGGUAAAGAAGCACCGGCUAACUACGUGCCAGCAGCCGCGGUGAUACGUAGGGUGCGAGCGUUGUCCGGAUUUAUUGGGCGUAAAGGGCUCGUAGGUGGUUGAUCGCGUCGGAAGUGUAAUCUUGGGGCUUAACCCUGAGCGUGCUUUCGAUACGGGUUGACUUGAGGAAGGUAGGGGAGAAUGGAAUUCCUGGUGGAGCGGUGGAAUGCGCAGAUAUCAGGAGGAACACCAGUGGCGAAGGCGGUUCUCUGGGCCUUUCCUGACGCUGAGGAGCGAAAGCGUGGGGAGCGAACAGGCUUAGAUACCCUGGUAGUCCACGCUGUAAACGGUGGGUACUAGGUGUGGGGUCCAUUCCACGGGUUCCGUGCCGUAGCUAACGCUUUAAGUACCCCGCCUGGGGAGUACGGCCGCAAGGCUAAAACUCAAAGGAAUUGACGGGGCCCCGCACAAGCGGCGGAGCAUGCGGAUUAAUUCGAUGCAACGCGUAGAACCUUACCUGGGUUUGACAUGGAUCGGGAGCGCUCAGAGAUGGGUGUGCCUCUUUUGGGGUCGGUUCACAGGUGGUGCAUGGCUGUCGUCAGCUCGUGUCGUGAGAUGUUGGGUUAAGUCCCGCAACGAGCGCAACCCUUGUUCACUGUUGCCAGCACGUUAUGGUGGGGACUCAGUGGAGACCGCCGGGGUCAACUCGGAGGAAGGUGGGGAUGACGUCAAGUCGUCAUGCCCCUUAUGCCCAGGGCUUCACGCAUGCUACAAUGGCUGGUACAGAGAGUGGCGAGCCUGUGAGGGUGAGCGAAUCUCGGAAAGCCGGUCUCAGUUCGGAUUGGGGUCUGCAACUCGACCUCAUGAAGUCGGAGUCGCUAGUAAUCGCAGAUCAGCAACGCUGCGGUGAAUACGUUCCCGGG